UCUGCGCCCGAGGCGGCCUCGCCGCGGGCCGGGGCGGGUUCCGGGCGCUUCUGCGCGGUCGGCUGCGGCCGCGGCGUCCGGGCUGCGCGGGGCUCGGCGCGGCGCGGUGUCCGGCGGCCUCUCGGUCCGGGUCUUCUCCUGAGGAGGAGCGGCGCGCAGAGACCCGGGACUGAGCGCGGACAGAAAUGGCCCCCCGGUCCGUGAGCAAAGCGCGAGGAAAGUCGUGCGGGCCCCGGACUAGCAGAAGCCUUGACAGCCUUUCUCCUGCGUAGUCCUCAACCUGGUUAACUGUCCAAGCCCUGCCUCUGGAGUCAAGUCCUGCCACCUACCUCGGGAACACUCUCUUGGUCUCUGCCAUUCAGAGGUAGUGAUUGGCAGGUCACAUCCUGUGGUCAGUCUGAAAAUGGUUGGGAACCCAAGACAGGUUGGAGUACAAUGGCAUCAUCUCUGCUUACUGCAACCUCUGCCUCCCGGGUUCAAG